GACCACGGGAGUUUGCCAGGAGAGGAAGCAGAAACAGUCUCCAGUUUGAGAGGCAGUUCAGUUCAGUUCAGUUCAGGCGCUCAGUAGUGACAGACUCUUUGCGACCCCAUGGACUGCAGCACGCCAGGCUUCCCUGUCUUUCACCAACUCCUGGAGCCUACUCAAACUCAUGUCCAUUGAGCCGGUGAUGCCAUCCAACCAUCUCAUCCUCUGCCUUCCCCUUCUCUUCCUGCCUUCAAUCAGAACCAGAACCAAAAAAGGCCUCAGGGGUCGGGGACGGCAGCUGCGGGCCCCUGAGGUUUCAGAGAGCCACACUGCCAUCGGCUGCCUUAAGGACCCAGCACUAAAGUUAGCCACCUGGUGAGAACCUCCCCUGCUUUUCACUGGGGAGCAAAAGCAACCAGCACCUCCUUCGAGCCGGAAUCGAACCAGCGACCUAAGGAUGACCACACGUGUCAGAUCUACAGUCCUCCGCUCUACCAGCUGAGCUAUCGAAGGGUGCGCGCCACCAAGCGGCCGGGGACCUUACUUUUUCUGGAAAUGCCGCAACACCACACUGAGACGCCCAAGGUGAGGUCGUCCGAACUCGUCGGAAGCCCCUUUGAAGAGACCGGUGUGCUCGCCGCCAGGGCGCCAAGUGCGGGUGCGAGGACCCGGCAAUCCUGCGGGGUGGCUGCGGCCCGGCCUUUGUGUCGGCUGGCAUCGGGGCAGCGAGUUUCAAGAUGCCUCGUUUUCUCUCCGCCGUCCCUCUUUCUACAAGUGGGGACCGCUCCCUGAAAGCGCGGAAGAGAGCUAGGGGAGAGGCGUUGGGAAAUGGAUGCGCGCGUGGGGGCGGGAGGCCGGGCCGAGGAGAGGGCACCGCGGAGCCGACUGCCAACCGCCUAGGCAGCCACCUGGUGCUCUUUAAGUGCCGUCAGUUCAAACUACUGUUUUGGUCAAAAUGGUAUUAUUUGUUGUGCCGCCCUUCAAAGCCAGUAUCAUCUUGCCUGCACUCCGCGGAUCUCCUAUGGAUCUCCCUGCUUUCGCCCUCCCACCUAUACAGCCAGAGUGAUUUUUCUCUCCUUUGCUAGGGGAGUGUGGAAGAGGGGUGAGGGUGGGAUGUGGAGGGUUUAGAUGAAGCUGCUUCUCUUCUGGAAACUUCUGGUUCACUCAGACUUGAACCCUUACACAGGUCUACACGACCCUCAGUUCUUGUCUCCACGCAGUCACCUCUCUCAGUUUCGGUACCAUUCAUACAUUUUGUUCUGUAUUCAGGACCUUCAUGC
ensembl:lncRNA